rnacentral:lncRNA from 1 species
GCGGAGGGGCGAACCUCUUGUCCUCGCUUUUGUUGCUUCGCCUGUUUUCUAACUCCAAACGCUAGGCAGAGGUCGCUGUACUUUUCUGGCUUGAUGGAUGGUUAAAGAGUCUCGGGUAGGGGGAGGGCUGCGAUCAGCUGAAAGUUUCCGAAGAAAUGGGUCACACUGGCUCUGCGCGUCCUUUGCCUCCCGCCCCUCUCACCUCCGGGCGGACGCAAAGUGGCGAGGACUCGCAGGUGCCAGAUGGUGCUUGCGAAGGCACGGGCCCGCCGCCUGUGCCUGACUCCUUCUCUCCUGCGACGGAUUUCUAGUGGGCCUUAACUGCUAACCAGCCACAAAAUUGGGAAUAAGAAGAUAACGGCUGUUCCCAUCACUAAGUUCUGAUCUCUAGGAAUGUGGUUUUGUUUCCCCUCUCUCCCUGUCCUCCCCACUCUGAUUUAAAUUGCUCAGAGUAUUUCAAUGGAAAUUAACUAUAAACCUAGUAGUUCAAAAAUUACAUUUAUCCCUCACUCAUUACUGGAUUUAAGGAGAUCUGGGCUGCUGGAGCUUUUCUGCAGAAACCUUUUAUUUAUCUUAAUAUUUUGUAUUUUGAGUGAAUACUUUCUCUCAGCUCUACUCCACUUAUUCACCUGUUUCCUAGGAAAGUCUUACAGAUGUGGAAAAGAAUCCUGUAAGAAAUGUUCAUAUGGAAAAACUUGAUUUCCAGAAAAACAUAUGGUGAUGUGGAAUGGGGGUUAGAUUGAUAAUUCACUUUAAAUAAAAGGUUUCUGAUACAUAGAAGGACUCACUGUUAUAUGUAUUUAACUAGUGACCUCUCCUACUUCACUGGAAAGAAGGUUUGAGUUUCAUAAAGUUAAACGCUCAGCAUUUCACAAUAUACGUGUUACACAAGGAAAGAAACACUAGUCUACUCUUUCCAGAAAAUGUAUCUAUGGCAUAUAAUAUAUUCUAGAAGGAUAUUGAUGGGCAUCUGUAAUCAGCAGUCACUGGAUCUAUAGUUUGAAUAGUAGUGAUGUACGACCAGACACUUGCAAUAUCAAAAGACUUUUCCUUGGUUCUCU